GACGAACGCUGGCGGCGUGCUUAACACAUGCAAGUCGAGCGGUAAGGCCCUUUCGGGGGUACACGAGCGGCGAACGGGUGAGUAACACGUGGGUGACCUGCCCUCAGCUCUGGGAUAAGCCUGGGAAACCGGGUCUAAUACCGGAUAUGACUCCAUGACGCAUGUUGUGGGGUGAAAGCCCUGUGCGGCUGAGGAUGGGCCCGCGGCCUAUCAGCUUGUUGGUGGGGUGAUGGCCUACCAAGGCGACGACGGGUAGCCGGCCUGAGAGGGCGACCGGCCACACUGGGACUGAGACACGGCCCAGACUCCUACGGGAGGCAGCAGUGGGGAAUCUUGCGCAAUGGGCGAAAGCCUGACGCAGCGACGCCGCGUGAGGGAUGACGGCCU
rnacentral:rRNA from 1 species